rnacentral:rRNA from 1 species
ACUCCUACGGGAGGCAGCAGUGGGGAAUAUUGCACAAUGGGCGCAAGCCUGAUGCAGCCAUGCCGCGUGUAUGAAGAAGGCCUUCGGGUUGUAAAGUACUUUCAGCAGUGAGGAAGGUGGGUAUGUUAAUAGCAUACUCAUUUGUACGUUAGCUGCAGAAGAAGCACCGGCUAACUCCGUGCCAGCAGCCGCGGUAAUACGGAGGGUGCGAGCGUUAAUCGGAAUUACUGGGCGUAAAGCGCAUGCAGGUGGUUUGUUAAGUCAGAUGUGAAAGCCCGGGGCUCAACCUCGGAAUUGCAUUUGAAACUGGCAAACUAGAGUACUGUAGAGGGGGUAGGAAUUUCAGGUGUAGCGGUGAAAUGCGUAGAGAUCUGAAGGAUACCGGUGGCGAAGGCGGCCCCUGGACAGAUACUGACACUCAGAUGCGAAAGCGUGGGAGCAAACAGGAUUAGAU